UCUUUGCUACAGGUGAUGCGCGCGCUGCGUGCGAGAUGACCUUACUUCUUCCAAACCCCAACCAAGAUCAAUGAGC